rnacentral:tRNA from 1 species
GCGGGUGUAACUCAGCGGUAGAGUGUUACCUUGCCAAGGUAAAAGUCGAGGGUUCGAAUCCCUUUACCCGCU